UGAGGUAGAGCACAGUGGUAGAGUGCUUGCCUAGUAUGCAUGAGGUCCUGGGUUCAACCCCAGUACCUCCA
rnacentral:tRNA from 1 species